GUAAAAGCAGAGGUAAAGAAAAUAAUGAUAACAUCGAGGCAUGUAUUUCCAGAAAAAUGAAAAAAUAUAAGCAUCACAUAUAAAUCAUAACAUUUUCAGUUGGGGUUCAAAUGAGCUACCAGCUUCUGCACAUCUCUAAAAUUGUGCAUCAUCACCGCAAAGGUAUUAAGAGAUGUAAUACUCCAUAAUCUGAGCUAGGUGGAGCAUGAAGCUAUUAAAUAAAAGUGGCCUGAGGAUGGAGGCCUGAGGUACCCCACAUGUGAUCUUUGUUUGCUCCGAUUCAUAUUUGCCAAAAAGAAACUAAGUAGUCUUGGUCUGGAGCAAUCUGGCACAGUACCAGACCAUCUCACCAACUUUUCAAAUCUAUCAAUUAAUUUGUUAUGAUCGAUGCCAAACUUGACUGGAAAGCAGUAAAUUACAUUUUUAAAUCAAAAAUGAUAAAAAAAAUUAUUUGAUGAGCUGCUUUUUAAUGAUCAUUGCCAAAAUGUUAUGUUAGGAAUAUAGAAAUAUUUUCUAUUUUAAUAUUUAUUAUGUGCAAUAUUUGAGGUGCAACACAACAAACAAGAUUUAAAAAGAGGUGAAGCCACAAACUGCUUGCCUCACCUUCUGAGUUUUUGUUUUUUGUGAAAUAAAUCCAUGCAGGAGUUCAGGAUGGACAGGUGGUGAGGGGUCUGUUCAGCAUGUCAACAAUAGUCAACAGAGGUGGAGAUUCUUAGUGGUGUUAUUAAUAAAACCAGCUAAACUUAGAAAACAAAAUCUGCUGCUAUAUUUACACCGGUUGAAACAUUAAAAAUAUACGUUGCUGCUGGCAUUGUGUAAGCCAAAUUACAGAAGCAGUAAUAGCUUCAUGUCUUUUUCUGUUAAUGUGGUUGGAACAGCUUGAAUUACUGCAAAUUAGUUAGGAAAUCUGGACAAUUAAAACAUAGCUAAGGGAAGGCCCUUAAGACAUCCAUUAUUUUAACUUUGUAAUGAGACCCAGAGUUUUUCUUUCUUUCAUUCUGCUGCAUGAGUACAGAGACGGAACAGCACAGUGAUAAGGACAACUUGUUUCACAGGAACCGUUCGCCUGCUACAGUUCCUCAUGAAUAAAUGAACACAUGAUAACUCGAUUAAGCUCUAUUUAUAUGGUGCAGAUCAAAAGUCAGUUACGUACAGUAGUUCGAUUGUAGUUAAAAAUGCACCUAUGUUCAGUCGAUACCUGCAGUUGUGGAAAAAAUGCACCUAUUGAAACCUGGCCAACGGCUUUGAGUCACUGAAAACACAAGUCUUCUUUUAAUUGUUUUCCCAGCAAUCCUUUCUGCAGGAUAGAAAACAACUAAAAGAGGGUUUGUUUGCCACCCAUUUUCUAUACCUGCUUUUUCCAAACAGGGUCGUGGAGAGGCACCAGCUUCACUACAGGGCAACAUAAGGACACACAACUAUGUGCACACCCAUUCACACCUAAGAGAGACCAGUUAACCUAGCAGUUAUGUUUUUGGACUGUGGGAGGAAGCCAGAGAGAACGUGCAAACUCCAUGCAGAAAGACCCCAUGCUGGGAGUUGAACCCUUGACCUUCUUGCUGCAAAGCAACUCAGCUACAAGCUCCACCAACCUGCAGUCCUCUAUGAAAAAUGAUUUGUGCCAAAAAUCACAUAAUGCUCUCUAUCUUGAAACAUUUUUAUGUUGUUUAAAUGAAAUAUUUAAACCGUUUGAAUGUCAUUGAUGCAUGGAUAUUGGUCCUGUACUUGCAAACAGCAUAUACUUUAUGUGCACUCUGAUCAUUUCCCACUGAUGAGUCAAAUUUGGCUCUGUUAUGGCCUUUUGGUUCACUAAUAUGUUUCUAAAAGGUUCAAUUUUAACAGCAUUACAAACUAAACCACUUACUGUGCAAUGCAUUGUAAAGUGAAGUAGUGGACAAUUCCAGCUAGACUUUAAUCUUACCUCGUGAAAAGAAAAACAGGCGUAAACUUUACAGAUUUGUGUAUAAGAAAUAUUUUAUUGCUUAUCCCCGUCUGGAUUAGCUUGCUGUCUAUUUGUUAUUCUCUUAUUUAGAUGGUCUUUUAGAGCUGGACUGAAUAAAAUAAAACAUCUCUUUGCAUGAGUUACAGUGUUUUUCUGUUGUUUAAUCAUCAAACAAAUUUACAACCAAUGAUAAUCUGAGUAAAUCAUUUUUCACCCUGGGCCAGGUUCGUUAGGAUGGGGGGGGUAAAGGCUCUUUCAUAUCACAGCGUGUCACAAACACUGAUUUAUUUCUAAUGCAAACAAGAAUCAAAACUAAAUCCAAAAUCUGAGGUGGAUGUUCUUGAAUGAGCAAAUACCGGAGGAACUGUACAGUACAUUCAUUAGUUGGCUAAACAUGGGCGAUCAAAAAGUUGUUUCAACACAUGAGCAUUGUUUGAACAUUGUAAUUUACACACAUGAAAUAAUGUCAAUUUAUUCAAGUUUUUAAAAAAGUAAAUAUAACUAUUCUCAAACAUUACUGAAGCACAUUUAUAGUUUCCUUUAUUUAAAGGGACUGGAUUAUUAGGGGUCUUUUAUGCCUUCUCCUGGCGGUUUAGGGAAACUCCAUGGUGGGUCCGGUUGAUCAAUUAUAUAACUGGAAAAUCCGUUUCCAGUUCAAAUUUCUUACCUGCUAUAUGCUUUGUGUGGAUGUAAUUGUUUUCUUGUGGGUGGGUGCGUGCGUGUGCAGAAAAGAGCAGGUAGGUGUUUGCCAUGUAUCCGUUUCCCUGCUGGCUUGGAAUAAACCUUUUAAACAAAUAAACAUCUGCAGCCACAGCGGUUCUUCUAUAAAUUAGAAAUAGUUCUGUAGCUUAGUCCAGCAGCUGUAAUUGUGCCUUUAGACAUUAUAUGGCAUCAAUGCAACAUCCUUACAAAAUGGCCUUAGUUGUAUUCGUCUGCAGUAUUUAACCAGUAUUUUUUUUUUUUUUACCUUUAAAUUAUGUUUUGCUGUUUACCAAAUAUAAACAUAUGCUUGCAAUGAUGGGAAUAUUCUACAUGAAUAUGGCCCUUUUUCAACAGGAAAAAAUGACAACAGAUUUGAAGAUUAUGGUCAGAUUAUGGUCAGCACUGCUCGAAGUCCAGAAGAUCAGCGUGGUGCAGAAAAAAAAAGUGUUGAUGCUGAUAAAUCCUAAAGAAAACCAACAAUAGGGGACAUACUGACAAACUGUUUACUAUGACUAAUGGCAUGUGGUUAGCAGUUGUCAAGGCAACUGUUCAGCCAUCUGCUGGGGUCUGAGAAAAACAGGAAGCAGAGUGAGAACUGAGAACAGCAACAGAAACUGAAACAGGGCUCUAGACAAACUGAAUGAUGCGUCUGUGUCAGAGGGCUCAAAUGAGGCCCAGCUCUCCACACAUAUACCUGAACCACACACACACACACACACACACACACUGGUUACUCAUGCAGUCAUUACAGGUGCUAACUUGUACGGUUCAGCAGCAAACCUUUUUAUCCUCAGCUCAGAGUUCCAACCCAGCUUAGGUUCUGGUCAGUUUCUCAACAAAGGAUCUGCGACGGGCCGUCCUUUUGUUUUUAUCUCAACCGCUACAGAUACAAGAGUUCUCCGUGACGCCCAGCAGCUAUAAAAACUGGACUCUGAUCUUUCCGCCAACACAAGAUAAAACCAGUGCCAUCUAACCCUAUUGUCAUAGUCAUAAAAAAAUCACACUGAACACAGGACAAAUAUACAAAAACAGACUUUAUUUCAGUUGUACAUAUUGAUUCACAUGUAGAUCUCACAAUGAACAGACAGACGGAUGGCAAACCCAUGACCAUUUUAUUUAGUAUGUUUUCUAGCCAACUACUUACAUUGUCCUUUAGAGUGUGCAGCAGAACAUAAAGAGGGACAACUCUUUCCUGAUAAGAGGUUUCAUGGCUCUAAAUCCCUAAAAACCAGACACAUCUUACAUCAGCUUUCACUGCUGACUCCUGGUUGUAAUCACAUCUCUUUAACAAACACAAAGCACAAAACAAAUCUAUGGAAAAGUGCACAUUUCUGAAUCUUUGCAGGAUGUCACUGUGAGGCUUCUUUAAGGCAACACCAAUUAGCGGACUUUCCAAAUGUUUCAUUGUUACACCAGAUAUUUUGAUCCUCAGUUUUUUCUUCUUCCUGUUUUCUAUGGCAGGAAACACCUCGAUGCUUCAGCUCAUUGUUUUCUUUUCACGUUUCUGGUUUCGAUGAUGGCGUCUACACAAGUCAACGUAGCUACAGUGGUCCAAAAUAAGAAGAUGGCUGUUGGUUAAGUUAUUAGUAGAAUUUGCUUUAAAUAUCAUUACAUACUGCAGGAUUCCAGAGCUGUCGCUUCAGACUGAAACAACGCAGCUUCUGUCACUGAGUAAUAAUAAAAGGCACAUGUCUGAAAGAUUUGCAGUAAAGCAAGCAAAAAAAAAAAAA